GGAGACACAAUGGGGGUGGGGACACAGUGGAGAUGGGGUCACAAUGGGGAUGGGAGCACAGUGAAGAUGAGUAUGGGGACACAGUGGGGACAGGAAUGGGGACACAGUGGUGAUAGGGAUGGGGACACAGUGGGGAUGGGGACACAGUGGAGAUGGGAGAUGUAUGGGGCUGCCCCCCCUCCUUGCAUUCUUCUCUCUUCACCUUAUUUCCCCCCUCCUCCCCCCCCAGCUCUCCUCCUUGCUUUCACUUUCCUUUUCCUGCUUGGACAACCAACCACGCACUGCCUUCCCCUCACCCCACACGGUAUCAUCCUGCUGACAAACACACGGAAGGACAAACACACAGAAGGACUUCUCUGGGGCGGUGUCGGGCAGAGUUUAUUUCCUGCACUGCCACUCUCUCUGCAGAUCCCGUUGCAGGAGCUGCUGGGAUGGCCUUUCGGAGCGUGGAGAUCCAACUGACCAACAGCACGAGGGAUGUGACCCUGAGCUCCCCCAGGGCCUACUGCUUCAGUGGCUACAACUCCGUGCCCCCCAGCCCCAUCAUCCCACCGGGAGCCACGGAAUGCUGCACCUUCAACAACUCCCCACACCGUUUCCGGGGCAGCGUGGGUGUCCUGGUGUACGAGGUUUACCAGCAAAUCCCAGAAACAGUGGCAUGCUCCGGAAUGUCAAGCUCCAUGCAACCCAGGAGACCAUGAUGGUCUCUGCUGGUGGCACAAAGGUCAUGGCCACCAUGUCCAGUGCUGCAAAGUCCGUCAUUAAAGUAGUUGUGGAGAACAAGGAUAGUCCCCCCCCAUAUACAGAGGCAAUACCACACUUUCGCUUUACGCACCAUGAGCCAAGGAAAUUUAGAAAAUUCCAGAAGAAGGAAGGAAUGAAUGGUCCCUUCUUCCAGUAGGUGCUAAGCAGAGCGUGCUGCCCUCAAAAAAAAUGCUGAAGUAGAGCAGCAGUGCACAGAUGUUACUUCUAUUUUGUUUUGUUUUGCUUUCCUUCUUCUCUUUCUGUUCUUCCUUGCGGCUGGAAAAGGCAAUGGCAGCUGAGCCAGCAAAUCAUGACAAUAAAAAAGCAUUGCAGAUAACAAUAACAGAAAA
ensembl:lncRNA